AAUGUCAUCCUAGAAUAUGUACUCAUGUGUGCCUCCACUUUUUUUCCUAUUCUCUCCUUCUGGAACUCCUCUGAAUCAGGUAUUGGAAAUUUCAAAUUGAUUCUCCAAUUGUUACAUUUUUUAUUUUUAUUUUUCUUGUUUGUUCUACAUCCUGGGUUAAUUUCAUCAGUCAUGACUUCCAGUACUCACAUUUGUAGAAUUCCUUUUUAUUCUAUCUGCAACAAUUUAUUCACGUCUUCUUUUCUUUCAGUGUUUUGCAAUGUUU
rnacentral:lncRNA from 10 species